GGUGAACCUGCGGAGGGAUCAUUACCGAG
rnacentral:rRNA from 1 species